rnacentral:rRNA from 1 species
UGAGGAAUAUUGGUCAAUGGGCGCGAGCCUGAACCAGCCAAGUAGCGUGAAGGAUGACGGCCCUAUGGGUUGUAAACUUCUUUUAUAUGGGAAUAAAGUUUGGUAUGCAUACCAUUUUGUAUGUACCAUAUGAAUAAGGAUCGGCUAACUCCGUGCCAGCAGCCGCGGUAAUACGGAGGAUCCGAGCGUUAUCCGGAUUUAUUGGGUUUAAAGGGAGCGUAGGUGGAUUGUUAAGUCAGUUGUGAAAGUUUGCGGCUCAACCGUAAAAUUGCAGUUGAAACUGGCAGUCUUGAGUACAGUAGAGGUGGGCGGAAUUCGUGGUGUAGCGGUGAAAUGCUUAGAUAUCACGAAGAACUCCGAUUGCGAAGGCAGCUCACUGGACUGUUGACUGACACUGAGGCUCGAAAGUGUGGGUAUCAAACA